AGAGCUUUAAUGAAUCUACAUACUUCAGCUGCUUUUAUCAAGCCAAAAUCCGAAACAUCUGAGCCAGAGACAUCAAGGAUUUCCCAGGAAGCAUCAGCUAACGCAAUCAAGACAUCAUUACUCACCAACUUUCUUCGUCUAGCAAUAGCUGCCACUGCUAACUUAAUAUCACCUGGCAAGCCGAUAGCAAUCUCUUCCAAAUCUUCAAUAAUAUCCUCCAAAUGUCUUCCAAGAACUCCAAUGCAAAGGUUGACUAGACUUUGAGGCUUUUUCUUCUUAGAUAGAAAUCCGGGAAACUGAGGAUGGUUGAUUACUGCAAUGGAGGACUUGGAUUUGAAAUU
rnacentral:lncRNA from 1 species